rnacentral:rRNA from 1 species
UAGGGAAUCUUCGGCAAUGGACGAAAGUCUGACCGAGCAACGCCGCGUGAGUGAAGAAGGUUUUCGGAUCGUAAAACUCUGUUGUUAGAGAAGAACAAGGACGUUAGUAACUGAACGUCCCCUGACGGUAUCUAACCAGAAAGCCACGGCUAACUACGUGCCAGCAGCCGCGGUAAUACGUAGGUGGCAAGCGUUGUCCGGAUUUAUUGGGCGUAAAGCGAGCGCAGGCGGUUUCUUAAGUCUGAUGUGAAAGCCCCCGGCUCAACCGGGGAGGGUCAUUGGAAACUGGGAGACUUGAGUGCAGAAGAGGAGAGUGGAAUUCCAUGUGUAGCGGUGAAAUGCGUAGAUAUAUGGGGGAACACCAGUGGCGAAGGCGGCUCUCUGGACUGUAACAGACGCUGAGGCUCGAAAGCGUGGGGAGCAAACAGG